GCGUGGCGACCCCCCCGGCACGUGACCCCGUUGCCAUGGCAGCGCCCCCUGAGGCCUGGCGGGGGGCCCUGGGAAACAGGAAUAUCAAAUAAAUAUAGAAACUGUAAAUGCAAACCUAAGUGUAAGAGUAAAUGUGUAGAAAGCAAAGGGCUGAGUUUUACCAGAUGCUGAACAAGACAUUCCAGCUGCUCUGUCAUGAAUUUGCUAAGGAACCGUAAAAGAAAGUCAAAACAACUCCUCAAAACAUGCAGAAUCAUCCCAGAAUCCCUGAAGCUGGAAAAAACCUCCAGG